rnacentral:snRNA from 1 species
CGGGCCUUAUCUAGUUCC